AUUGAACGCUGGCGGCAGGCCUAACACAUGCAAGUCGAGCGGAUGACGGGAGCUUGCUCCUUGAUUCAGCGGCGGACGGGUGAGUAAUGCCUAGCAAUCUGCCUGGUAGUGGGGGACAACGUUUCGAAAGGAACGCUAAUACCGCAUACGUCCUACGGGAGAAAGCAGGGGACCUUCGGGCCUUGCGCUAUCAGAUGAGCCUAGGUCGGAUUAGCUAGUUGGUGGGGUAAUGGCUCACCAAGGCGACGAUCCGUAACUGGUCUGAGAGGAUGAUCAGUCACACUGGAACUGAGACACGGUCCAGACUCCUACGGGAGGCAGCAGUGGGGAAUAUUGGACAAUGGGCGAAAGCCUGAUCCAGCCAUGCCGCGUGUGUGAAGAAGGUCUUCGGAUUGUAAAGCACUUUAAGUUGGGAGGAAGGGCAGUAAGCUAAUACCUUGCUGUUUUGACGUUACCGACAGAAUAAGCACCGGCUAACUCUGUGCCAGCAGCCGCAGUAA
rnacentral:rRNA from 1 species